GUUUUAGUACAGGUUCACGCUGACCUUCCCCUGAAAUUAGUCCAAGUUUUGAUGGAAGGUGGUGAUCCCUCCAACUUAGCAACAAUGGAGGUCUGAUGUGCCUUUGUUGCAGUUGUUCACUUCUCUUCUAUCUUCUGGAUCUCAGUCAAAUUGCCUUUAUGAUCACCUGUGCCUCUGCAGUGUGGAUCCAGAGACUUCAGGAAACCAUGGACCACCCGAUGUCUGGUAAUAUGGCUGGCCACUGAAUGACAGGAGGGACACCCUUGAUCCACAGUGUUUGAGGCAUCUUCAGAGGACAACGAUUCCUGUAGCCCCAGCAGCAGCAGCAGCAGCACCAGAAGCAGAAGCAGGUGGUGUAAACUUUUGCAUAUGAGCAAAAAGUGAGACCUCUAGAAUCCUUGAGGCU
rnacentral:lncRNA from 1 species